rnacentral:rRNA from 1 species
GACGAACGCUGGCGGCGUGCUUAACACAUGCAAGUCGAACGGAAGGGCCCUGCUCUUGUGGGGUGCUCGAGUGGCGAACGGGUGAGUAACACGUGAGUAACCUGCCCUUGACUUUGGGAUAACUUCAGGAAACUGGGGCUAAUACCGGAUAGGAGCUCCUGAUGCAUGGUGGGGGUUGGAAAGUUUCGGCGGUUGGGGAUGGUCUCGCGGCUUACCCGCUUGUUGGUGGGGUAGUGGCUUACCAAGGUUUUGACGGGUAGCCGGCCUGAGAGGGUGACCGGGCACAUGGGUACUGAGAGACGGCCCAGACGCCUACGGGAGGCAGCAGUGGGGAAUAUUGCACAAUGGGGCGAAGCCAGAUGCGGAAACCCCGGGUGCGGGAUGACGGGCUACGGGGUGUAAACCGAUUUCUCCUGUGACGAAGCGAGAGUGACGGUAAUGGGUAAAGAAGCACCGGCUAACUACGUG